UAGAGGAUAAUCAAUCGGAAGUAUAUUUUAUCGGAAACAUAUUCAUCUCGGGACCGCGUGUGAUAGUCGUGUGAUUCAAGUGCAUUACCAUCAGUGUAGUUUCGUGUGCAGUACUUUAUUUUCGUGUUCCGUACUUUAUUAUUAAAAUUUUUCUCAGUGAAUUGUUCCGUGAAUUUAGAAAGUGCAGUGAAUAGUUGAACAAAUUUCGUGUUCGGUACUUUAGUUUCGUGUUCGGUACUUUAGUUUCGUGUUCGGUACUUUAGUUUCGUGUUCGGUACUUCAUUAUUAAAAUUUUUCUCAGUGAUUCAUUACGUGAAUAUAGAAGGUGCAGUGAAUAGUUGAACAGCCUUACUUUCCGCAAGUUUCCUAUCCGCCGAAAGUUUCCGUCAGCGAGCCUUUACUUUUUCUGUCCAGUGGAAUAGUUUGCCGUGUUUUACAAUAAGUGGAGUUACUAUUUGUCACUCGUGUCGGUUGUCAUUCUGCGAAUUUUCGGAAGUGUUUAUUCUGUGAUUAUUUUUAUGAAAUUUGAUUUGAGGAUGUCGCUUCGGAAGUCAAUUUGCUCACGUGUAUUCCUCUGCGCUGAUUCGCCAACAUUCAAGAAGGCGAUGAACGAGGAUGGAAAUCUUCACCCUACGCAUCAGAGCUGUUCCUGACCUUGCAGAUCAUCGCUUCUUCACGG